AAUACAAACUUUUUGCUUCAAAUGGGUCCUGAAGGAGCAUUGUAAGUUGCUAAAUGGAGAAGAGAGGGAGAAUAAAGAGGGUUCGAAAGGGAGAUUGGUUCGGCGACAAGACUUUGACCUAGAACAAUGCUCUCUCAUCGGCGGCGAGAUUGGUUUGGCGAAGGCGACGACAACGGCGACGGCGACGAUCGAUGGUUCGAAGGGGAAGGGUUUCGUUCUCUUCACUUCGAUCUAGAAAAAAUUUUAGUUCAAUUCUUGAGGCAUGUUUGAUAUCGAUUCUUGAGGUAUGUUUGUUAUUGAUUCUUGAGGUAUGUUUGUUUCCACUUGGUUAUUGAUUUUUCUCUUCAAAUUUCUCUGGCCGCCGCCAAACCCCCUUCGCACCUUCAUGCGUGAGUCUUCCAUCACCUCCUCUCUGUUCUCUACCACCUAACUUCACAAUUCCCCCAAACCCUACUCUCUCUCUCUCUCUCUCCUUUCAUUCUUCCUCCUCAUGAUCCCUUUUCAAGCCCAAUUGAUCCACUCCCAUGACUACAAAGCAUUUCAAUUCUGAUCAUCUACCCAAUCUUUUGAAGCUAAAACCCUAGAUGUGGUCAACAUGGGUCCAGCUUUUCGAAGCCAUUACAGUGAUUUUUUGCCUAAUUCUUCUUUUCCGGCAUUGGGGUGUGAAUUGAGUGGGUUAAAUUCGAUGGUGGAGGAUGGGAAUGGUGAGAUUGAGAGCUUGAAGGGUAUGAGUAGGGUUUCCAAUGAACAGAGGGAGCUUGAUUUGUGUGUCGAGGAGUUCAAUGUGCGGCGGUUGAAUCGGUUGAUGGGGCUAAUUAUUUUUUGGGACAGUUGAAAUCCUUGCAGGUUGUUGCAAGCCUAACAGCAAAAUGAGAUGAUGAAAUUUGGAAGGCUACUUUAAAUACUCCAGCUAUAGGUUAAAAGAUCCUUGGUCCUCAAAGUUGCACUGAAGAUCUGGUUGUUGCAUGAUUUGAAGGAAAUUGUAUUCCUAAUGAAUAUAAGAGUCGGAGGAUGCUGUUGCCACAAAGAACAGCUUGACUCUCUCACUUCGGUUGCUAAUAGCGGCUCAUAGCAAAUUACCCCAAAUUCAAAAUUAGAUACAAGUUGAUAUUGAUGCACUCAUAUAAGCGAACAACCGUAGCGUCUCGGCCUCACACAGAAUACAUAUGGCACCAUUCAAUGAUGAAUAUUUAUAUGUUGAAAUUACAAAUAAGAAUAGCUUUGGCUCUUCUACUUCGGUUGCUGACAGUGGCUUAUAACAAAUUACCUAACCUCAAAAUCAGAUACAAGUUGAUAUUGAUGCACUCAUAUAGGCAAACAACCAUAGCAUCUCGGCCUCCCAAAUGCCCAACUGAACACAUCGCCUAUUGCUGUUGAAUUGGGAUUGCAACAGUGGGAUUUGACUUUCAUUGCUCUUUGGCAUUGAGUUUUUGAUUUUCAACAUAUCAAGAGUCUCAACAUGUUUCUGCACUCUUGUCACCUUCAAGAGAGUGAUGUCAAAAUUGAAAAUUUAGUAUCUUAAAUAUCUAUAACUUAGAACUCUUUGAACGGUUUUGAAGUUGAGGACAAUUUUUGAUGUUUAUAAACAUAAUUUUUGGAUGGUUUGGAAUGUACAAAUAGAUUUUGGAU